rnacentral:rRNA from 1 species
UACGAAGGGGGCGAGCGUUGUUCGGAUUUAUUGGGCGUAAAGGGUCCGUAGGCGGUUCGGAAAGUCAGAUGUGAAAGCCCACAGCUUAACUGUGGAACUGCAUUUGAAACUUCCAAACUAGAGUAUGAGAGGGGUAAAGGGAAUUCCCGGUGUAAGGGUGAAAUCUGCAGAGAUCGGGAGGAACACCAGUCGCGAAGGCGCUUUACUGGCUCAUUACUGACGCUCAGGGACGAAAGCUAGGGUAGCAAACGGG